CGAGAUCUCGCAGCAGGGACUAGGGUGUAAGCUGGGACAUGGGGAAUGCCCACAACUCUACCCUUCUUCGGUCCCCCUGUAGCCUGCAGCCAGUCCUCUAUCUCCUCGUCUGCACACGUAGACUCGUCUACUGGAGUGUCACCUCUCUGGCUGCUCCGGGCCACUGCAAGAUCUUCGAACCGUCGCUGACAAAAAACACAUUAAUGGAUGAUACGCAAAGUAUAAAAUGAAAUAAUAUAAAAGAAUAUCUGAAUUUUAAAUACAUAUUAAAUAAGAGCAUUAAAUAACUUACAGCAAUGCGUUCUGCCUCAGGUAAGAUAUAACCACCGUCAC
rnacentral:lncRNA from 1 species